UACUAAUUCAUUUUGUUAAUUCAAACUUUUUGCAGAAGGUAAGCAACAGGAACACUAACAACCGUGAGCAAAAAGGACCAAUCAUUGCACAGGAUCCAAACCAUUCUCCAAACUUAGCGAUGAGCAGAGAGAUCCCGGAACAGGUGAAGAACCAACUGAUGUUGACCUUUGGAGGAUUACACACGUGAGGAAUGGAGUAUGGUCUGAUGAAGCUUCUCAGGCUGUCUAUGAGAAUGCAGUCGUCAAAAUUGCAGAAAAGUGUGAAGAAAAAGACACUAUUAUAUCAAAUUCAGAAGAAAAUAUUAUUUUCCAAGCAACCUACAAGGAAAGCACAGGAUGCAAAACAUCCACUGUUCAUGGUCAUGGGUACAUGUCUACACGUCCAACAGAGAGGGCAUCAAUGAAGGAUCAACUCGAAGAACAAGCCCGUGCUACAGUUGCAGCCAACCAGAAAAAUCAAGAGCUACAAGAACAUAUUGAGAAGCUAAAUGACAAACUUGAAAACCAAGAAGCUGAGAGUGAAAGGAAAUUAGAAGAAAAGUUGCAGCAGUUCAAAGAGGAAGAGAGUAGGAAAAUCCAAGCACUUAGGGAUGAAUUCAUGGCAGCACUUCAAGAAAAUACACAAACCACGUUAGCUCAGGUAAAAGAUAUUUGAAUAUCUAUUUCUAACAGCAGAGAUCAAGUAAGGUUCUGAACCAAUUAACAACUUGGCUGAUUUGUUACCCUUGCAGCCUGAACCAAAUAACUCAAACAUCCAACAGGAAGCUACGCCACCUAUUGACAAAAGAGCUGCCACUACUCCAGAUUCUAAUGCAACUGAAGCUGCAUCAGUUCAGACUACACCAAAAAGUGCAUCCAUCCCAGAGGCAGCAAAGCAAGUGGAGAUACAUGCAACGAAAAUACCAUCCUCUAAGGCCAAGAGAAGUCUUUCUCAAACCAACAAGAAUUAUAUUAGUUCACAUAACUUGAUGAAUGCUGCUGUGAAAUGUAUACGGACUAGAAGCCAGCAGGAUAUUUGAACUUGCUAAAUGGAUCAAUCGCACACUGAUGCCUUCCAUGAUCAACACAAAGAUAGUCUGCAUCAAUGUCAAACAAUGUUUCUUGGAUCCUACAUAAGACAGAUGUAGUUGUGUUGUUGACCCAACAGUAGCUAGCUAGCUAUCUAUGAACUAUUCUCAAUUCUGAAAUUGUACUGCAAUUUGGCACUUGGCAUUUUAUUAUCUACUCAUUAGCAGAGUUAAUGUUGGAUUCCUUUCA